rnacentral:rRNA from 1 species
GACGAACGCUGGCGGCGUGCUUAACACAUGCAAGUCGAACGGAAAGGCCCUGCUUUUGUGGGGUGCUCGAGUGGCGAACGGGUGAGUAACACGUGAGUAACCUGCCCUUGACUUUGGGAUAACUUCAGGAAACUGGGGCUAAUACCGGAUAGGAGCUCCUGCUGCAUGGUGGGGGUUGGAAAGUUUCGGCGGUUGGGGAUGGACUCGCGGCUUAUCAGCUUGUUGGUGGGGUAGUGGCUUACCAAGGCUUUGACGGGUAGCCGGCCUGAGAGGGUGAACGGCCACAUUGGGACUGAGAUACGGCCCAGACUCCUACGGGAGGCAGCAGUGGGGAAUAUUGCACAAUGGGCGGAAGCCUGAUGCAGCAACGCCGCGUGCGGGAUGACGGCCUUCGGGUUGUAAACCGCUUUCGCCUGUGACGAAGCGUGAGUGACGGUACUGGGUAAAGAAGCACCGGCUAACUACGUG